UGGGGAAUUUUGGACAAUGGGCGAAAGCCUGAUCCAGCAAUGCCGCGUGUGUGAAGAAGGCCUUCGGGUUGUAAAGCACUUUUGUCCGGAAAGAAAUCCUUGGCUCUAAUACAGUCGGGGGAUGACGGUACCGGAAGAAUAAGCACCGGCUAACUACGUGCCAGCAGCCGCGGUAAUACGUAGGGUGCAAGCGUUAAUCGGAAUUACUGGGCGUAAAGCGUGCGCAGGCGGUUUGCUAAGACCGAUGUGAAAUCCCCGGGCUCAACCUGGGAACUGCAUUGGUGACUGGCAGGCUAGAGUAUGGCAGAAGGGGGGUAGAAUUCCACGUGUAGCAGUGAAAUGCGUAGAGAUGUGGAGGAAUACCGAUGGCGAAGGCAGCCCCCUGGGCCAAUACUGACGCUCAUGCACGAAAGCGUGGGGAGCAAACAGGAUUAGAUACCCUGGUAGUCCACGCCCUAAACGAUGUCAACUAGUUGUUGGGGAUUCAUUUCCUUAGUAACGUAGCUAACGCGUGAAGUUGACCGCCUGGGGAGUACGGUCGCAAGAUUAAAACUCAAAUGAAUUGACGGGGUCAUA
rnacentral:rRNA from 1 species